rnacentral:tRNA from 1 species
GGGAAUAUGGCCCAGUGGUAGAGUGCUUGCCUAGCAUGCAUGAAGCCCUGGGUUCGAUUCCUCAGUACCA